rnacentral:rRNA from 1 species
UCAGCAGCCGCGGUAAGACGGGGGGAGCAAGCGUUGUUCGGAUUUACUGGGCGUAAAGGGCGUCUAGGCGGGCUUUCAAGUCGAAUGUGAAACCCCACGGCUCAACCGUGGAUCUGCAUUUGAUACUGUUGGUCUUGAGUACGGAAGAGGAAAGCGGAAUUCCAGGUGUAGCGGUGAAAUGCGUAGAUAUCUGGAAGAACACCGGUGGCGAAGGCGGCUUUCUGGUCCGAUACUGACGCUGAAGCGCGAAAGUGUGGGGAGCAAACAGGAUUAGAUACCCUGGUAGUCCACACCGUAAACGAUGGGUACUAGGUGUCGGGGAUUCGACCUCUCCGGUGCCGCAGCUAACGCAAUAAGUACCCCGCCUGGGGAGUACGAUCGCAAGGUUGAAACUUAAAGGAAUUGACGGGGGCCCGCACAAGC